rnacentral:rRNA from 1 species
GAUGAACGCUGGCGGCGUGCCUAAUACAUGCAAGUCGAGCGAACAGACGAGGAGCUUGCUCCUCUGACGUUAGCGGCGGACGGGUGAGUAACACGUGGAUAACCUACCUAUAAGACUGGGAUAACUUCGGGAAACCGGAGCUAAUACCGGAUAAUAUAUUGAACCGCAUGGUUCAAUAGUGAAAGACGGUUUUGCUGUCACUUAUAGAUGGAUCCGCGCCGCAUUAGCUAGUUGGUAAGGUAACGGCUUACCAAGGCGACGAUGCGUAGCCGACCUGAGAGGGUGAGCGGCCACACUGGAACUGUGACACGGUCCAGACUCCUACGGGAGGCAGCAGUAGGGAAUCUUCCGCAAUGAGCGAAAGCCGGACGGAGCAACGCCGCGUGAGGGAUGAAGGUCUUCGGAUCGUAAAACUCUGUUAUUAGGGAAGAACAAAUGUGUAAGUAACUAUGCACGUCUUGACGGUACCUAAUCAGAAAGCCACGGCUAACUACGUG